rnacentral:lncRNA from 10 species
AGAACACAAGCUUCUGAAAUCCCCAAAUCUCAUUACAGUCCCUCUGCUGUCUCUUGCAAGCUGCAUGAGCUUUGGCAAAACCCUUCACCUCUUUAAGCUUUUGUUUCCUCACUUGAAGAAUCAAAACCACAAUGAGAUACCAUCUCACACCAGUUAUAGUGAGCCAAGAUUGCACCACUGCACUCCAGCCUGGUAACAGAGCAAGAAUCCAUC